rnacentral:lncRNA from 1 species
CCCAACCUGACUGCUGUGUUCUGCCCUGAGUCUGCAGAGGCUGACCCUGGCCAGGAAAGUGGUUGGAAAAGCAUUUUUGCAGAGAGGCAGCCUGAAGGUGGUGGCUCUAUGUAAGUGUGCACCCUUGGUUGGAAAGGCUGAAGGUCAGGAAUGGUAUUAGGAGAAAGUUCCCCCUUUCUCCUUUGUCCCUCCUUCCUGCCCCUGGACACAGGCUUGAGGAUCUGCAUCUGGCUGGCUCACCCUUCCUGCACAACUUUUCUAUUCAAGUUUUUCAGGGCAGGGCUUUAAGAAACACUUCAGGUUAAUUAUAGCCAGGGGUCAUUUUCUAUACAAGCGGGACAAACUUGAUGUGACUACAGGGCUGUCUCCAGGGCUGAUUCAUUCGACCUAGAAAACUGCCCCUAGGGAAACAGCCUCAGAAUCUUGCCUGCAGCUCUGGAAGUGGUAAUGGGCCCACCUGUCUCCCUGCCCAUCAUCUCACAUCUGGGGGAAUGUCUUGGCUAGCAGCAUGGCCCUGAGUGAGGGGUUUAGGUAAACAAGGUGUGACUGGGAUUGGAAGAGUCACAAACCUGUUUGUUAGAGCAAUGCUGAAGAGUUUCAGGAAAAGAAUUUCAUCAAGGCUGGCACAUCUGUCCUCAGACACUUGAAGGAUUCCCUGGAGGAAGGAGGACUGAACUUGCCCUACAAGAUCCUGCGGGGCAAAGAACUGUAAGCAGAGACAAAAUGAAAGCCCUCUAGGCCCACAAUUGAUUCUAACGGCUGUGAGGGAAUGAGCUUCAACUACUGUUGAUGGGAGGGACUGUGUGCCAGGCACUGUGCUAGGGACUCUCAUGCAUGAUCUCAUUCAUCUUCUGCAUAACCCAAUGAGGUAUGAUCUACUAUCAAGUGUCUACAUUUGUAUUGGAUUGGUAUGUGUGCCCAACAAAGAAAGUGUCAUUUUUCCUUGGGAAUGAAAUCACAUCAUUUGUGAAGACUUAGUAGAGGCUAAAUGAGUACAAGCAGCAUUUACCUUAUUAAACAGAUAUUUUCAACAUUUAAAACAGUCUGACCAUCAAUGAUGAUGUUCAAAAACAUCUCAAGAUGUUUUAGAGCUAAAGCAAAUGAGAAAAUAUAGUAAAGGGCUGAUUCCUGUGGAUAUUCUGCAAAGGAAAGUAACAUGGUGGAGUGGAAGUGGGAUAAGGUUUGAAGCCAAAAGACCUGGUGGGCUUAAGGUCUCCAUUUAUUGGUUGUGUGACCUUGGAUAAGCCACUUCACCUCCUGGUGAGACUUGGGCAAAAUGGAGAUCAUAUUAAUCACCUCACAGUUUGUUACGCAUUGAGUAAAUGCACAUGUAAGCAUUAUUGACUGUAAAUGAUUAUGCAUAUUUUAAUUAUGGUAUAUCCAAGCCUGAUUUUUCAUCCAGUGCUUACAGUGCCCUGGGCAUAAUACUCAUUCAAUAAACAUUUGUUUGAUGAUAGAGUAAUAAAUGAAUAUGUGAUGCAGAAGUUUUAAAAAUAUUUUUGCUGCUGUCUGACUCAUUUAUAGACAUUUAUAAAAUUGAGGAUUUGUAAGUUGUCCCUGGACAAUCAGAUCUCUUGAUUCAAAGGUGAAAGAUAAUCAUUCAGGUUUUCAAGUUUUUCCUGAUAUGAGACAUUAACUGGCAGGGCUGAUUAUGAGAAAUUGUCAUUAUCCUGCUCAAAUAUAAGAUCAUAGAUUUGGGAAACCUUAGAAAUAAUUACCUUCUUUUCAAAUAUGAGGAAACUGAAGCCCAGAGGCUCUAAGAAAUCAGGGACUUUAUAUAAUUUUUUCAUUUCUCUAGCUCUAGGGUAAUUGUAGAUAGAUAUACAACAAGUAUGUUUUUAAAAGUAUAUUUUUCAAGAAUUAUGCUAAGCACUGGGGAAAUAAACAUUAACAAGACAAAACCCUCCCCUUUGAGGAACUGAUAAUCUAGACAGACAUGAAAACCAGGAAGUGUGCUAUCAGUUAUAUUAAUGUUGUACAGAGUUCUAGUGGCAAGAGGGAACUGCCAAGGGAAAUCUGAGAGGAGGUGUUUACCCUGCGUAAACACCUUGCUGUUUAGCUUGGCAUCCCUAGAAGCAGACCCUGAGGACAGUGGGAAAAUGGAUUAUUAAGGAAGUGCUCCUGAGAGAAACCAGAAAGGGGGUGUAGGGAGCAAGGGAGGAUAAGGAGAAGACUCCAGUAAGGAUGAGAUUACUCAAGUCCCAUGGAAGACAGGUUAGCCUGAUCCUGCAGGGGAGCCCUGGAGGACUUAACAUCUCUGGAAAGCCAGAAAUCAGAGAUACAGAGAAGUAUUGAAAUGCUGAAAUGCUAUGAAUUUACUAUAAGAGAACAUUCUUCACUGAAGAGAUCUCUAGCUGCCAAAACACCCUUUCAUGCGUGAAAUACCGGGGCAAAGAGGAAGGAAAAGAGAAGAGUAUGACUCUAGGAACCAUGUUGCAGAAAUGCCAAAGGGUGGGACAAACAAAGUUACUAAUGUGGAGAAAGAAGAUUAUCAUGUGUGGAACGAAGGACAAUAUGAACAUUAAAUAAUGCCCUGACUCAUUCCAAAAAGAAUCUGAGAUGACCAAUAAAGCCAUUUUUAAUUGUUUAUUAGUGAACAAUAGAUUAUGAGUGCUAAAGGGAUUCAGGAAGAAGAAAGAUCAGUGCAGAGUAGAGAAGUCUGAUGGAUGCAUUGAAGAAGCUAUGCUUGAGCUGAAAUGACAAGAGAGCUGUUUUUCGCUUUCAGAAUUAUUAUGUGGCAAUGGUAAUUGACAACAGAGAAGCUGAAGGUAUGAGGACAAGGGUGUCUUAUCUUUCCCCAGAAGUCUUGCUUGGCCCAUGGGAGAAUACAGGCCUGCACCUUGGACUUGGAGUCAGUAGAUUCCUUCCUGUGAUUUUUUACAAGCUCAAACAUCCCCUGACUGAGUCAUUCACCAGAGAAAGAGGCUUUUCAAAUGAUUUGUGCAUUAGCUAUAGUCUGCCUUAUUCAACCCCAUUUUAGUGUCACAAAAGCUUCUUCUUCCUACAUUGUUAGAGCCUUUUUGACUUUUCUGAAACGACAUCUGCUCACCUCUUGGGUAACACCCUGCAGGGCUCAGUCGAGCUCAGUCACCCUUCACUUUUUUUUUUUUUUUUUUGAGCCAGUUUUGUAAGGUGCUGAGGGAGGUUUGUAUUAGUCCUUGUUGCCCCUAGAAGAAAUAACAGCUAUAAUUUUGGCCCCGAAGAAAAGGAACAGAUAGAAGAAGAAGGCAGAGGAGUCAGUGUUGGAGUGAUGCCAUGUGAGAAAGACUCAACUGGCCAUUGCUGGCUUUGAAAAUGGAAGGAGGCAUAAGCCAAGGAAUGAAUGCAGGUGCCUCUAGAACCUGGAAAAAGCAAGGAAACAAAUUCUCCUCUAGAACCUCCAGAAGGAAUGCAUUCCUGCCAACACCUUGAUUUUUAGCUCGGUGAGACCCAUGCUGGACUUCUGACCUGCAGGAUUGCAAGAUAAGAUAUUUGACUUAUUUUAAGAUGCUAAGUUUGCAGUAAUUUGAUAUGGUAGCCAUCGGAAACUAAUACCGAUGCCAAAGCAGUAAAGCAGGAAAGCACUCCAAAAUCACAGGAGUGAGAGGAGCAGAAAUGUCCUAGGAGAAGACAAUGUUUCCUUUUGAAAAGGAAAGUUUACUGGCAACUUCCAUUUGAAUUUCUUAAUUUCUUUCCUCAGUGGCAGUCACUACUUCCAAGGUGGCAGGUUCCAGAGCUGAUUCAUUAUAUAAUCUUUUCUCAGGAGUAUUCUAGCCACCUUUAAAGAAGCUAGGGCCAUUUUCCUGACACUGCAUCAAGGGGUAAGGUUAGUGGUAAAGAAACCAUGCGGUAGGAAAGGCCAACUUUCUCCCUACAUAAUCCAAUCGCAUUAUCUCCAGACUUGCUCACCCUCUGCUCUUUGCAUACUGCAGCUCCAGAGCUUUCAUACCUACAGACUUCCUGGAGUUAAGACUAAAACAAGAGUUGUGCUACAGACUACCGUUCCUAUUAUCAUUUUUUGUGUCCUGCUGAGUCCUCCCCUCUUGGCAACUUCAGGACCACCCACUGGGAAGAUAAUAUACAACCCAUCAGGAAACUCCCAGUGCCCAUCGUGGAGGCCAAGUGCUGCCAACUCUGAUUGCUUCUGGAAUGCCAUUUCUUCCCUGCCCUUUCAAUAUUCUUGUUAUGCGACUCCUAUGAUCACUGCCAAUCUGUAGAAAAUUACAGGAUGAAUUUUUGUGAAGGACUGAAUUUGCAUACUGGUCUUUUGUUGUUUAUUGUUGGGGGGAUUUUGCUUUUUGCACACAAUUUCUGCACAUUUUAUUGGAAGUUAUUGGGUUAGAUUCAUCCCAUUCAUUCACUAGCCUGGCAUUGCUAUGCAUGUGCUGUAGGGGCUUAGCAUUAAACGAUUUUCUUUGUUCAGAUUUGGAUUGCUGUCUCUGCUUGCAAAUUAUUUUUCACAAUGACUCCUUCUUUUCCUUCUCUCUCUCUCUCUUUCUCUCUCUCUCUCUCUCACACACACACACAGACACACACACACACACACACACACACACACACACACACACACAGAUGAGGUUAGAUAUUUUUCCAUUGCCAAGUUCAGGACCCAUGAAUAC